rnacentral:rRNA from 1 species
AUUGAACGCUGGCGGCAGGCCUAACACAUGCAAGUCGAACGCGUGGCGGACGGGUGAGUACUGUCUGGGAAACUGCCUGAUGGAGGGGGAUAACUAAUGGAAACGGUAGCUAAUACCGCAUACCAUCAGCUGUGCCCAGAUGGGAUUAGCUAGUUGGUGGGGUAACGGCUCACCAAGGCGACGAGCCCUAGCUGGUCUGCGAGGGUGACCAGACACGCUGGAACUGAGACACGGUCCAGACUCCGACGGGAGGUAGCAGUGGGGAAUAUUGCACAAUGGGCGCAAGCCGGAUGCAGCCAUGCCGCGUGUAUGAAGAAGGCCUUCGGGUUGUAAAGUACUUUCAGCGGGGAGGCGGUACCCGCAGAAGAAGCACCGGCUAACUCCGUGCCAGCAGCCGCGGUAAUU